GUCCUUAUGGGCGCGGGGCGACCCGCGUCUUCAUAAGCCCCUUCGUGUAGAAAGUCUAUGAAUGUUUUUACCAUCAUCGACUCGCGACUUCUAGGAGACGCGAUUCUUUGAGACAAAAGUUUAUUACAACUUUCAGCAAUGGAUCUCUUGGCUCUCGCAUCGAUGAAGAACGCAGCGAAUCGCGAUAUGUAAUGUGAAUUGCAGAUCUACAGUGAAUCAUCGAAUCUUUGAACGCACCUUGCGCUUAUCGGUGUUCCGAUGAGCAUGCCUGUUUGAGCGUCAUUAAAUUCUCAACCCCUCUCGAUUUGCUUCGAGAGGGUGCUUGGAUCGUGGAGGCUGCCGGAGACCUGUUUUUCAGGACUCGGGCUCCUCUGAAAUGUAUUGGCUUGCGGUCGACUUUCGACUGUGCAUGACAAGGCCUUUGGCGUGAUAAUGAUCGCCGCUCGCCGAAGUGCACGAACGAAUGGUCUCGUGCCUCUAAUCAGUCGACGC
rnacentral:rRNA from 1 species